rnacentral:snRNA from 1 species
GUGUUCACUUAGGCAGUACCCAUACUAAAAUUGGAACUGUACAGACAAGAUCAGCAGGCCCCUAUGCACGAACGCCAUGCUAAAUUUGUGAAGCCUUCCAUAUUUAU